AUUGAACGCUGGCGGCAGGCCUAACACAUGCAAGUCGAGCGAGCGGCGGACGGGUGAGUAAUGUCUGGGAAACUGCCUGAUGGAGGGGGAUAACUACUGGAAACGGUAGCUAAUACCGCAUACCAUCAGAUGUGCCCAGAUGGGAGUAGCUAGUAGGUGGGGUAACGGCGCACCUAGGCGACGAUCCCUAGCUGGUCUGAGAGGAUGACCAGCCACACUGGAACUGAGACACGGUCCAGACUCCGAAGGGAGGCAGCAGUGGGGAAUAUUGCACAAUGGGCGCAAGCCGGAUGCAGCCAUGCCGCGUGGGUGAAGAAGGCCUUCGGGUUGUAAAGCACUUUCAGCGGGGAGGCGUUACCCGCAGAAGAAGCACCGGCUAACUCCGUGCCAGCAGCCGCGGUAAUUC
rnacentral:rRNA from 1 species